rnacentral:rRNA from 1 species
UACAGAGGUCCCAAGCGUUGUUCGGAUUCAUUGGGCGUAAAGGGUGCGUAGGCGGCGGGGUAAGUCAGGUGUGAAAUCUCGGGGCUCAACCCCGAAACUGCACUUGAUACUGCCUCGCUUGAGUACUGGAGAGGAGACUGGAAUUUACGGUGUAGCAGUGAAAUGCGUAGAUAUCGUAAGGAAGACCAGUGGCGAAGGCGGCGAUCUGGGUCGAUACUGACGCUGAGGUGCGAAAGCGUGGGGAGCAAACAGG